AACGAACGCUGGCGGCAGGCCUAACACAUGCAAGUCGAGCGAGGACUUCGGUCCUAGCGGCGGACGGGUGAGUAACGCGUGGGAACGUGCCCUUUGCUUCGGAAUAGCCCUGGGAAACUGGGAGUAAUACCGGAUGAGCCCUUUGGGGGAAAGAUUUAUCGGCGAAGGAUCGGCCCGCGUUGGAUUAGGUAGUUGGUGGGGUAAUGGCCUACCAAGCCGACGAUCCAUAGCUGGUUUGAGAGGAUGAUCAGCCACACUGGGACUGAGUCACGGCCCAGACUCCUACGGGAGGCAGCAGUGGGGAAUCUUAGACAAUGGGGGAAACCCUGAUCUAGCCAUGCCGCGUGAGCGAUGAAGGCCUUAGGGUUGUAAAGCUCUUUCAGCUGGGAAGAUAAUGACGGUACCAGCAGAAGAAGCCCCGGCUAACUCCGUG
rnacentral:rRNA from 1 species